UACAGAGGUGGCAAGCGUUGUUCGGAAUUACUGGGCGUAAAGGGCGCGUAGGCGGUCUUUUAAGUCUUGUGUGAAAUCCCUCGGCUCAACUGAGGAACUGCACGGGAUACUGGAAGACUUGAGUUCGGGAGAGGGAAGCGGAAUUCCGGGUGUAGCGGUGAAAUGCGUAGAUAUCCGGAGGAACACCGGUGGCGAAGGCGGAUUCCUGGACCGAUUACUGACGCUGAGGCGCGAAAGCUAGGGGAGCAAACGGG
rnacentral:rRNA from 1 species